rnacentral:rRNA from 1 species
UCAGGGAGACAGGUGGUGCAUGGUUGUCGUCAGCUCGUGUCGUGAGAUGUUGGGUUAAGUCCCGCAACGAGCGCAACCCUUAUUGCUAGUUACCAUCAUUAAGUUGGGGACUCUAGCGAGACUGCCAGUGAUAAACUGGAGGAAGGUGGGGAUGAACGUCAAAUCAUCAUGCCCCUUAUGACCUGGGCUACAAACGUGAUACAAUGGCUGAAACAAAGGGCAGCGAAGGAGCGAUCUGGAGCGAAACCCAAAAAGCAGUCUCAGUUCGGAUUGAAGUCUGCAACCCGACCUCAUGAAGUCGGAAUUGCUAGUAAUCGCGGAUCAGAACGCCGCGGUGAAUACGUUCUCGGGUUU